rnacentral:lncRNA from 1 species
AUGGGUUUCCCCUUUUGAGUUUGGGUUCUUGAGAAAGCCAAGGCCACCACUUUCUAUCACCGAUAACAUUGUGAAUGGAUUCUUUGCGAUAGAUAUCAUCAUGACGUUCUUUGUUGGUUACCUUGAUAAAUCAACUUACCUCCUUGUCGAUGAUCGUAAAAUGAUUGCCUUCAAGUACUUGCGUUCUUGGUUCGUCCUCGACCUCAUAUCAACUAUCCCCUCAGAGGUGGCUAUGAAAAUCUCAUCCCAGUCUUACGGAUUAUUUAACAUGCUUCGGCUCUGGCGUGUUCGCAGAGUCGGUGCCUUGUUUGCCAGGUAAUAUGUCAAUAACCUUUUAUUAUUUCCUUCUAUUACCAGAAUCUUGACAUUGUCUUUAUAAACAGGCUUGAAAAAGAUCGCAACUUCAACUAUUUCUGGGUCCGGUGUGCAAAACUCGUUUGUGUAAGAUCAUCAAAACAUAAAAAAAAUGUUUCUUUACUUAAGCCACAUUCCUCUCAAGUACUCAUUAAUUGGAUAAUCUUGCAGGUCACGAUUUUUGCGGUCCAUUGUGCUGCAUGUUUCUAUUACCUUAUCGCCGCACGGCACCAUGACCCAGCAAAGACCUGGAUUGGAGCAUCUAACGCAAACUUCCAUGACGAAAGCUUGUGGAUGCGAUAUGUGACUUCCAUGUACUGGUCCAUCACUACUCUAACCACUGUUGGUUAUGGUGAUUUGCAUCCAGUGAACACAAAGGAAAUGAUAUUUGACAUUUUCUAUAUGCUCUUCAACCUCGGGUUAACAGCAUACUUGAUUGGUAACAUGACCAAUUUGGUAGUCCAUGGAACAAGUCGGACAAGAAACUUUGUAAGUUAUCAUUUUCAUCACCUAACUAUAUGUAUAAUAAUUACACGAGGCUAUUAUAUGGCAAUCACAAAAUUGGUUCUCCUUUGGUGUAGAGAGAUACAAUACAAGCUGCUUCAAACUUCGCUCGUAGGAACCAUUUACCACCUCGUUUGCAAGAUCAGAUGCUUGCACAUUUAUGCUUGAAGUACCGAACAGACUCUGAGGGGCUUCAACAGCAAGAGACUCUUGAUGCACUCCCAAAAGCAAUUAGAUCUAGUAUAUCACACUUCCUUUUCUACUCUCUUAUGGAUAAAGUCUACCUCUUUCGCGGAGUAUCCAAUGACUUGCUUUUCCAGCUGGUAAAAACUAUUUAAAAAGCAUAUUCCUAUCCCAUUUAAAAGAUUCAUUCAUUCAUCUCGUUUCUUACAUGUAGGUCUCAGAAAUGAAAGCAGAGUACUUCCCACCAAAAGAAGAUGUAAUCUUGCAGAACGAAGCGCCAACAGACUUCUACAUCCUUGUGAACGGUACUGCGGUAAUAAUCUUUUACAAAACUCUCUACGGUUUGUUGAAUAGAAAUAUAUAUUAUAAGAAUGCAAGAUGAUUUUACCUCUUUGCACACUUUUGUUAUGGUACAGGACUUGGUUGUUCAAGAUGGUGGAACAGAAAAUGUAAGUCAGCAUUUUAUUUUUAUUACUUUUUUUUAUUUAUAAAGUGUGGAGUUGAGAAUUCAUAUAGAGUGGUUAUGUGGAGAAUUUCAGGCUGUGAACCUAAGAAUUUCUCACAAAUAAAUAUGUUUGAAAGAUUUCAAUAAAUAACACAAUAACAUUUUACUUUUUCGUAAAUUAUAAUAUAUCGUACAGAUGUUACUUUAUGUCAAAAUGUAUCUAUUUGCUUAACUUUGUCAAGUUGCACAGCUUUUUGGAUUAUUUUGUCUUUAUUAUUUUUUAUUGUAUCUCUUAGAAAAGAGAUUAUAGUAUAAUCAUUUUUUGUUAUUUGAUUUACCAGACAAUUGUAGCUCCUUUUUAUUCAAUAUUUAGAAUAUUCAAAUCCUAGUUCCCUAUCGUUCUCAUUUGACAGUCAACAAACAAGAUCUUAUAAAUGCGAAGGCAAAUGUAGAAAAUUCAAAGCGUUCUUUAUCACAUUAGUUGAUUGGAUAAUUGGUUAAAGCCCCUUUGCUUUUGACCAUAACAUGUAAAUGAACACGUGAAUGUGGGGAAAAAUAAUAAAUGAUAUGUUGAAUGUGCAGAAUUCAAUGCAUUGAUUUCAACAACGGAUGCAAACUGAGCAAAUAAGAUACGUAAUAAAAAGUAGAAAUACUUAUAAUUCAUGUUUCAUAUUCAUAGCAUCAUCAAACAAUAACACUUUGAGGCUACCAAGUACCAAACAGUAACAAAAACUAUGGAAUGGUGAUUAUUGAUUAAUACUGAAAAUGGACGUGUUGAAUGCAGGAUAUGGGAGGCUUUCCUAGUGGUUCUUGUGGUUUAUACUGCAUGGGUUUCCCCUUUUGAGUUUGGGUUCUUGAGAAAGCCAAGGCCACCACUUUCUAUCACCGAUAACAUUGUGAAUGGAUUCUUUGCGAUAGAUAUCAUCAUGACGUUCUUUGUUGGUUACCUUGAUAAAUCAACUUACCUCCUUGUCGAUGAUCGUAAAAUGAUUGCCUUCAAGUACUUGCGUUCUUGGUUCGUCCUCGACCUCAUAUCAACUAUCCCCUCAGAGGUGGCUAUGAAAAUCUCAU